rnacentral:rRNA from 1 species
AAUAUUGGACAAUGGGGGCAACCCUGACCAAGCCAUGCCGCGUGGGGGAAGAAGGUCUUGGGAUUGUAAAGCACUUUAAGUUGGGAGGAGGGCCUUUAGGUAAAUACCCUGAAGUUUUGACGUUACCAACAGAAUAAGCACCGCCUACCUCGGUGCAAGCAGCCGCGGUAAUACAGAGGGUGCAAGCGUUAAUCGGAAUUACUGGGCGUAAAGCGCGCGUAGGUGGUUCAGUAAGAUGGGUGUGAAAUCCCCGGGCUUAACCUGGGAACUGCUUUCAUAACUGCUGAGCUAGAGUACGGUAGAGGGUAGUGGAAUUUCCUGUGUAGCGGUGAAAUGCGUAGAUAUAGGAAGGAACACCAGUGGCGAAGGCGACUACCUGGACUGAUACUGACACUGAGGUGCGAAAGCGUGGGGAGCAAAC